GAUUAACUAACUAUUUCAUAUCCCUGCCUAAUAUCACAUGAUGUUAAAAAGAUGACAAAAUAAUUACCCUGGGCUGUCAAAGGUUACAUCAACAGAGAACAGUUGCCAAUAGGGUCAGAGCUAUUCCAAUGAAAGAAACAUCAAUGAUUUUACUGAAAAGAAGAAAAAGAGUUGUCCAGAAAAAAAUGAUAUACAAAUUCAAGCAAACCAGGUAAAAGUUUAUGAUGGAUGACGGAAUCAUGUGAAAUUCUGGUGAUGCCCCAGCAGAAAUCAUCCACAUUAAUUGUGCCAUCUAAAUCUUCAAAGGUGGACCAAAAAUUGACAGAAUCUUUAAGGAUACAUACUUGACUGUCGUCUCACCUUGAAGACUAUCUCAGUCUUCUCUUGGGUCUUCUGUUUGGAAACACACCCUGGGAGUGCUGAAGGCUUACAGAGCUCUGAGAAUGAACAUGCAACCAGAAAACUCAAGUUAAAAAAAAUAAAUAAGGAAGUGAAAAGAUUUUCUUUGAUCAGGAUUGAGGCUCUACCAGUUCUUUCCCUGAGAACAGCAGAUGGUGUUAUUAUUGAUAUAGAAAAGUCUCUGAAAAAUAAUCAAAAGCAAUGAGAAAGGCUUUGGAGAAAUUAGUGGCUUUCCAUCUGUCUACCAAGUUUCUGGCCCUUUGGGAGAUACCAGCUUGAGUGAGAGAGAUCCUGCUUGAACUGGCUACUGGCAACUGGACAGAAGACCAAAGAACCACUUCUCUACUGGACCUGCUUGAGACAUUUUCUUCUGAAGAUCUUGGCUCAUAUACUGGACUCUAUUUGUGAGAUUGUGUUUGGGGAAACAAUGUAUUCAGCUUAGGUUAAUUAUUUAGAUAGGUUUAUAGGAAUUAGGUUUGGGGAUUAAUUAUAAUAACCUUUCUUUACCCUUUUACCCUCCUUUCCUCUCAACCUUCCCAAAAUAAACCUAAAUUAUUUAUAUGUUUCCUUCUUGUU
rnacentral:lncRNA from 1 species